UACGGAGGGUGCAAGCGUUGUUCGGAUUUACUGGGCGUAAAGGGCGUGUAGGCGGAAGUGCAAGCUGGGGGUGAAAGGCCUGGGCUCAACCCGGGACGAUCUCCCAGAACUGCACAUCUAGAGAGAGUCAGAGGCAGGUGGAAUUCCUGGUGUAGAGGUGGAAUUCGUAGAGAUCAGGAGGAACACCGGCGGCGAAGGCGGCCUGCUGGGACUCAUCUGACGCUGAGGCGCGAAAGCGUGGGGAGCAAACAGG
rnacentral:rRNA from 1 species